rnacentral:snoRNA from 2 species
GUGAUGAGGAACUCGGGUCUGUUCUAUGAAGACGACAUAGGCCGCUGA